UUAAAAAGCUCGUAGUCGGAUUUUGGCUGAGAACGGUCGGUCCGCCGUUAGGUGUGCACUGACUGGUCUCAGCUUCCUGGUGAGGAGGUGUGCUUCAUCGCCACUUAGUCACCGUGGUUACUUUGAAGAAAUUAGAGUGUUCAAAGCGGGCUUACGCUUGAAUAUAUUAGCAUGGAAUAACACCAUAGGACUCCUGUCCUAUUUCGUUGGUCUCGGGACGGGAGUAGUGAUUAAGAGGAACAGUUGGGGGCAUUCGUAUUUCAUUGUCAGAGGUGUAAUUCUUGGAUUUAUGAAAGACGAACUUCUGCGAAAGCAUUUGCCAAGGAUGUUUUCAUUGAUCAAGAACGAAAGUUGGGGGCUCGAAGAUGAUUAGAUACCAUCCUAGUCUCAACCAUAAACGAUGCCGACUAGGGAU
rnacentral:rRNA from 1 species